UCAAUUAUCGAUUCAUCUGUUCGCCGGGUUCUGGGUAGUGAAACACUUGCCUCUAUUCUGACCGGAGAGCGUGAAAUAAGCAGGGCGGACCCGGGGGCGGUACCCGGCGCCUCCACCAUUUUUUCAAGAUAGGCUAGCCAGACGGACUUAUACCGUCAGAGCUGGCCCGUGGCAGAAAAAAUAUGCGGGGGCGAAAUAGGAUCGACGCAUGUGGUAAAGGCUCUAUUUUCGUUCGGUAUGGUACCCGCCGUUAUCGGGCCAUUGUAGUAGUUGCAAAUGACAACACUGCUCCGGUUGCUAUCGCUGCUUAAUGCAGCAGGCGUAGCCGACUUAAAGUCCUAGCCGCUUGAGCUCGGUUAGGCGGGGUUUGGGGGCGCACCUGGCAACAGAAGCGUUCCUGCU
rnacentral:tmRNA from 1 species